rnacentral:rRNA from 1 species
GUUAUAUGGUCAAGCGAGUAAGCGCAUACGGUGGAUGCCUUGGCGGUAAGAGGCGAUGAAGGACGUGGUAGCCUGCGAUAAGCCUCGGGGAGCCGGCAAACAGGCUUUGAUCCGGGGAUGUCCGAAUGGGGAAACCCGACCCCUCGGGGUCAUCGUGCACUGAAUCCAUAGGUGUACGAGGCAAACCUGGCGAACUGAAACAUCUAAGUAGCCAGAGGAACAGAAAUCAACCGAGAUUCCCUCAGUAGCGGCGAGCGAACGGGGACCAGCCAGCACUCUUUAGCCAGUGAUCUAGUCGAACGGUCUGGAAAGUCCGGCCAUAGCGGGUGAUAGCCCCGUAGGCGAAAGAUCGCUGGUGGAACUAGGUGUGCGACAAGUAGGGCGGGACACGUGGAAUCCUGUCUGAAGAUGGGGGGACCAUCCUCCAAGGCUAAAUACUCCUUACCGACCGAUAGUGAACCAGUACCGUGAGGGAAAGGCGAAAAGAACCCCUGUUAGGGGAGUGAAAUAGAACCUGAAACCGUUUGCGUACAAGCAGUCGGAGCCCGGCGACUAAAUCGUGGUCAUGCGGCGCGUGCGACAGAGGCAGUAAGCUGUGUUUGCGCGUCGCGGGGCCGUGCCUGCUUCCGCAGGGCGAUUUAGUCGCCGGGUGACGGCGUACCUUUUGUAUAAUGGGUCAGCGACUUACUUCUCAGUGGCAAGGUUAACCGUGUAGGGGAGCCGUAGGGAAACCGAGUCUUAAUAGGGCGAUCAGUCGCUGGGAGUAGACCCGAAACCGGACGAUCUACCCAUGGCCAGGUUGAAGGUCGGGUAAUACCGACUGGAGGACCGAACCAACUGAUGUUGAAAAAUCAGUGGAUGAGCUGUGGGUAGGAGUGAAAGGCUAAACAAGUCCGGAGAUAGCUGGUUCUCCCCGAAAGCUAUUUAGGUAGCGCCUCGUGUCUCACUCCCGGGGGUAGAGCACUGUUAUGGCUAGGGCUGCACCUCGCGGUACCAAACCAUUGCAAACUCCGAAUACCGAGAAGUGCAAUCACGGGAGACACACGGCGGGUGCUAACGUCCGUCGUGGAAAGGGAAACAACCCAGACCGCCAGCUAAGGUCCCAAAAUCACAGCUAAGUGGGAAACGAUGUGGGAAGGCACAGACAGCCAGGAGGUUGGCUUAGAAGCAGCCACCCUUUAAAGAAAGCGUAAUAGCUCACUGGUCGAGUCGGCCUGCGCGGAAGAUUUAACGGGGCUCAAGCUGUGUACCGAAGCUGCGGGUUCGGUCCUUGUUCGCAAGGGUCGAACGGUAGGGGAGCGUUCCGUAAGCCUGCGAAGGUGUGUCGUAAGGCAUGCUGGAGGUAUCGGAAGUGCGAAUGCUGACAUGAGUAACGAUAAAGCGGGUGAAAAACCCGCUCGCCGAAAGUCCAAGGUUUCCUGCGCAACGCUAAUCGGCGCAGGGUGAGUCGGCCCCUAAGGCGAGGCCGAAAGGCGUAGUCGAUGGGAAACAGGUCAACAUUCCUGUACCUGUUGCUGCUGCGAUGAGGGGACGAAGAAGGCUAGGUGGUCCGGGUGUUGGAUGUCCCGGUUCAAGCAUGUAGGGAGUAGCUUUAGGCAAAUCCGAAGCUGCAAUCCUGAGAUGCGAUGACCAUGCUCUUUAUUGAGCGGAAGCCGCUGAUGCCAUGCUUCCAGGAAAAGCCUCUAAGCUUCAGGCAGCAAGAGACCGUACCCGAAACCAACACAGGUGGACAGGGUGAGAAUCCCAAGGCGCUUGAGAGAACUCUGGUGAAGGAACUAGGCAAAAUAGCACCGUAACUUCGGGAGAAGGUGUGCCUUUGGUGGUGAUGGGACUUGCUCCCUGAGCUGCUGGAGGUUGCAGUGACCAGGUGGCUGCGACUGUUUACUAAAAACAUAGCACUCUGCAAACUCGUAAGAGGACGUAUAGGGUGUGACGCCUGCCCGGUGCCGGAAGGUUAAUUGAUGGGGUUAGCUCCUUCGGGGGCGAAGCUCUUGAUCGAAGCCCCGGUAAACGGCGGCCGUAACUAUAGAUUGUUGUAGUUACGCAAAAAAACUUGGCUAUAUGCUGGAAACUCCGGUGUAUCCGCUGGUACUCGCUCGGAAUUGCCGAGCAGUGACAAUCCACGCGGUGCGGACAAUCAGCAGGAAAGGCUUCUGGUAUGACUUCACUGAACGUUCAGGAGAUUCCUGACCGCAUCGGCUAUUACCUCGCGGGUUUUGCCGAUGGCGAAGGAAGCUUCAACCUCUCAUUUCGAAAACGUAACGACUAUUCCAUGCCAUGGAAGAUAUCGUUGUGUUUCAACGUGUCACAGAAAGACAAGGUCAUUCUGACCUUAUUCAAACGACAUUUGAAAUGCGGCACGUUGCGGGUGAGAGACGAUGGCGUUUGGUACUACGAAGUCAAUAACUUCACGGCGGUUCGAGAGAAUGUCAUUCCGUUUUUUGAUCGGUUUGGGUUUCUGUCUGCAAAGAAGAAACGCGACUUUGUGAAGUUCAAGCAAAUCGCAGAUCUGAUGUCAGAUAGAAAACAUCUCGACAAAAAUGGAAUAAAAAGAAUUCUCGAAAUCCGCAAGACAAUGAAUGAUGGCGGAGUCGGAAGACGAAAGUACUCCGAUGCCGAAAUUCUGGGUCUGAUGAAGUCGGAAGAAUCCUCAGAGACUACACGCCAAGCACGAUCCAAUCGCUAAACCGAUGCCGUCUGAUUGGAAAGUGAAGAUAUAGUCCGAUCUGCAUAGCGAUAUGCAGGAUUCAAAUCAAAAAUCUUGCUACCGUUUGAAUCCAACCGGUCUCACGACCGGGGGUAACGAAGGAUGAACGGUCCUAAGGUAGCGAAAUUCCUUGUCGGGUAAGUUCCGACCUGCACGAAUGGCGUAACGAUGGCCACACUGUCUCCACCAGAGACUCAGUGAAAUUGAAAUCGCUGUGAAGAUGCAGUGUACCCGCGGCAAGACGGAAAGACCCCGUGAACCUUUACUACAGCUUUGCACUGAACUUUGAAUAUGCUUGUGUAGGAUAGGUGGGAGGCUUUGAAGCGAGGACGUCAGUUCUCGUGGAGCCAUCCUUGAAAUACCACCCUGGUAUGUUUGAGGUUCUAACCCAGGCCCGUUAUCCGGGUCGGGGACAGUGUAUGGUGGGUAGUUUGACUGGGGCGGUCUCCUCCCAAAGAGUAACGGAGGAGCACGAAGGUAC